AUUGAACGCUGGCGGCAGGCCUAACACAUGCAAGUCGAGCGGAUGAAGGGAGCUUGCUCCUGGAUCCAGCGGCGGACGGGGGAGUAAUGCCUAGGAAUCUGCCUGGUAGUGGGGGAUAACGUCCGGAAACGGGCGCUAAUACCGCAUACGUCCUGAGGGAGAAAGUGGGGGAGCUUCGGACAUCACGCUAUCAGAUGAGCCUAGGUCGGAUUAGCUAGUUGGUGGGGUAAAGGCCUACCAAGGCGACGAUCCGUAACUGGUCUGAGAGGAUGAUCAGUCACACUGGAACUGAGACACGGUCCAGACUCCUACGGGAGGCAGCAGUGGGGAAUGUUGGACAAUGGGCGGAAGCAUGAUCCAGCCAUGCCGCGUGUGUGAAGAAGGUCUUCGGAUUGUAAAGCACUUUAAGGUGGGAGGAAGGGCAGUAAGUUAAUACCUUGCUGUUUUGACGUUACCAACAGAAUAAGCACCGGCUAACUUCGUG
rnacentral:rRNA from 1 species